rnacentral:miRNA from 1 species
UGCCCGAUGAUGUUAUUGUUUU